AGAAAAUCGCAUCGGUAUACCCGGUGGUGGAUGACGGUACCGGAAUAAGAAGCACGGCUAACUACGUGCCAGCAGCCGCGGUAAUACGUAGGGUGCGAGCGUUAAUCGGAAAUUACUGGGCGUAAAGCGUGCGCAGGCGGUUUUGUAAGACAGGCGUGAAAUCCCCGGGCUCAACCUGGGAACUGCGCUUGUGACUGCAUCACUGAGUACGGCAGAGGGGGGUGGAAUUCCACGUGUAGCAGUGAAAUGCGUAGAGAUGUGGAGGAACACCAAUGGCGAAGGCAGCCCCCUGGGUCGAUACUGACGCUCAUGCACGAAAGCGUGGGUAGCAAACAGGAUUAGAUACCCUGGUAGUCCACGCCCUAAACGAUGUCAACUAGGUGUUGGGAGGGUAAAACCUUUUAGUACCGGAGCUAACGCGUGAAGUUGACCGCCUGGGGAGUACGGCCGCAAGGUUAAAACUCAAAGGAAUUGACGGGGACCCGCACAAGCGGUGGAUGAUGUGGAUUAAUUCGAUGCAACGCGAAAAACCUUACCUACCCUUGACAUGUCCAGGAGCCUGAAGAGAUUUGGGUGUGCCCGAAAGGGAACUGGAACACAGGUGCUGCAUGGCUGUCGUCAGCUCGUGUCGUGAGAUGUUGGGUUAAGUCCCGCAACGAGCGCAACCCUUGUCGUUAAUUGCCAUCAUUUAGUUGGGCACUUUAACGAGACUGCCGGUGACAAACCGGAGGAAGGUGGGGAUGACGUCAAGUCCUCAUGGCCCUUAUGGGUAGGGCUUCACACGUCAUACAAUGGUCGGUACAAAGGGUUGCCAAGCCGCGAGGUGGAGCCAAUCCCAGAAAGCCGAUCGUAGUCCGGAUUGUAGGCUGCAACUCGCCUGCAUGAAGUCGGAAUCGCUAGUAAUCGUGGAUCAGCAUGUCACGGUGAAUACGUUCCCGGGUCUUGUACACACCGCCCGUCACACCAUGGGAGCGGGUUCCGCCAGAAGUAGGUAGCCUAACCGCAAGGGGGGCGCUACCACGGCGGGUUCCUAUCUUG
rnacentral:rRNA from 1 species